rnacentral:rRNA from 1 species
UACGUAGGCGGCAAGCGUUAUCCGGAAUUAUUGGGCGUAAAGCGCGCGCAGGCGGUUUCUUAAGUCUGAUGUGAAAGCCCACGGCUCAACCGUGGAGGGUCAUUGGAAACUGGGAGACUUGAGUGCAGAAGAGGAAAGUGGAAUUCCAUGUGUAGCGGUGAAAUGCGUAGAGAUAUGGAGGAACACCAGAGGCGAAGGCGACUUUCUGGUCUGUAACUGACACUGAGGCGCGAAAGCGUGGGGAGCAAACAGG